rnacentral:rRNA from 1 species
UACCGGAUGGUUCCGCUGCUGCCCAUCGGCCGGACCCUCCCGCUGGCCGGUGUGACCCUGACUCUGUGCCGGGUCUGAGGAUGCCCUCCGUCGUCACCCCUUAUAACGUGUUACCCCCUUUGGGACUACGUCGCUGCGGCGCACUCCCUACUGCCGGAAGCCCAACAUUUGGAGAAAGUCGUCCCUUCUUCGGGGGAAACCCCCACUGCCAUGGACGUCUUCUUCAUGGCCGAUUGAUGCACGGUCGUCGGCGCCAUUAUGCAUCCCAUGUUCGCAACAGGCCUUAAUAACCCGCAUUUCUCGAGCAUCCGCCAAGCAGCGCAGACGACACCUUUGCGUUCCGAGUUGGAACGCGCACGUCGCCCAUGCCCGCAUUGAUCUCACGUCAUCCCCUCAGACCUUAAGGACCACAUCGCCACUUUACGCGUCUAUAGUCCUCCUUGUGGCCACCGCUUCCGCCCUGAGACCCGACAAUGACUGCGACUCCUCGCUUUCGUACCCCUCGCUUGUCCUAAUCUAUGGGACCAUCAGGUACGGCAUUUGCAACCCGUGAUCCACACCCCGAGUAAGGUGCUCAAGGCACGGCGUCGAUUGCGUAAUUCACGGGGCG